rnacentral:rRNA from 1 species
UACGGAAUGUACAAACGUUAUUCGGAAUUACUGGGCUUAAAGAGUCCGUAGGCGGCUUGUUAGGUGAGGUGUGAAAUCCCCCGGCUCAACAGAGGAAUUGCGCUUCAAACCGGCGAGCUUGAGGAAGAUAGAGGUGGGCGGAACUGAUGGUGGAGCGGUGAAAUGCGUUGAUAUCAUCAGGAACACCGGAGGCGAAAGCGGCCCACUGGGUCUUUUCUGACGCUGAGGGAUGAAAGCUAGGGGAGCGAACGGG